CCCAUCCAUCCUGCACCUUUCCAUCUUUCUGUCCUUCCACUCACUCAUCUGGAGUAAGCAACUUUUUUCAUUUUAUCUAACCAGCAUCCGUCCCUCCCCAGCCUAGCGGGCCUGUCCACCAACACUCCUUUUCCCUUUACAGGGACGAGCCAAUCAGAAUCUUCCCUGGGACACUUGCCAGGAACUGCUCUCCCCGUCCCUCUUUGGAGUCACUAGAUACCAGCCUAGAACUGUUCUUAGCUGUCUCUGACAUGUGAGGAGAAGCUGCUCAAGAACGAAUUCCACACAGGAGAAGGCGGAGCUGAGGAUGGAGACAGGAGGUGGUCUCGUGAAGAAGUUAAAAGCAUGGAUUCUGGAGCCAACUCUAUCUACUACCUGCUGGCUGUGUGAUCUUCGGCAAGUUACUUAACCUCUCUGUGCCUCCAUCUCCUUCUCCAUAAAACAUGAAUGAUAUUUGUGAGUGUUAGGUGACUUAGGAUACAUGAAAGCAUUUUGCACAGUGCUUGGCAUGUAGAAAGUGCCCCCGAUAAACAUUAGCUCUAAUUAGCCAUCGCUGUCAGAGAAUGUGGGGAUGGGGGUGGGGUGGCCUGGGCCGGUGGGGAAGCCAGGCGGGCACAGAGGCCCAGGCCCGCAGGAGCUGAACAGGAGCCACAAGCCUGCUCCCAACCUUGGCACCACGGAGGCCGCGCUGACUCGCUCUGUGCUCACCCUGCCAAGGCCAGAGCAGCGGGCUCCAGCCUGCCGAUGCCUGCAGGGAGAGAUGCCCCACGACGCAGCCGCCCGCCUCCCUCCACUCCUGCCGACCCGGAGCCAGCCUGGCAGCCCGCAAGGUGGGCGCCCUGCCGGCCUGGGGGGACCCUCAGCCCGGGCCCAGAGAUGCCCCCCCACCCCCACUCUGCAGGCUGCACUCCUGACUCCCAGCCGUGUGACCUCCCUUCAUGGAGAAGGUGGUGUCCCCUCCGCCCCUCCCGCCGGAGCCCACCGUGGAAGCGAUUCCACUUGGCAGCCACUCUGCAGGCAGUCGAAAACAGUUGUCUGGCUUGUCGGAUACCCAGGCCCUGCACAGCUCAACACAGGCUGCCGGGCUAGGGGCCGCAUAACUCUUUCGGGCGUGUUCUCUCUCUGGGGAGGGCGGGAGACCCCAGGCCCCUUUGCAACGGGGUAAACUGAGACCUCUCUCUGCACACCGCCUCAUCGGACACAGCGGAGCGGCCCUCCUGCCUUCUGCGUCUACCCACGACUCAUACACAGUUCUCACGGGGCCUGGGGAGCUGCCAGGAUCGAUGCGAGGCUCCUACACACGCAGGGACUAGGCUGCUUUCACACGACACCUCCUGGCAUCUCCAUGACGACCCCAGAGACAGGCACAAUCGUCAUGCUCAUUCUGUAGACACACCCACUGUGAGGUCCUCAUGUCUUUGCCUUCACUGAUUACAAUGUUGCAUACAGCAGGCGCUCACUACACCGUUACAGGAUAACCCACUGUCUCCUCUCAGGUCCUUCACAACGUACAGGCCUCCUGACUGGACAGGAACUCUCUGAUGGCAGGGGCUGUUUUGUUCAUUGCUACAUCCUCAUCGCAAAAUCCAAUGCCUGGACUUCCCUGGUGGCGCAGUGGUUAAGAAUCCGCCUGCCAACGCAGGGGACACGGGUUCGAUCCCUGGUCCGGGAAGAUCCCAAAUGCCGCGGAGCAACUAAGCUCGUGUGCCGCAACUACUGAGCCUGUGCUCUAGAGCCUGCGAGCCACAGUGACUGAGCCCACGUGCCACAACUACUGAAGCCUGCGUGCCUAGAGCCCGUGCUCCCCAACAAGAGAAGCCACUGCAAUGAGAAGCCCAUGUACCGCAAUGAAGAGCAGCCCCCGCUCGCCGCAACUAGAGAAAGCCCACGCGCAGCAACGAAGACCCAAUGCAGCCAAAAAUAAAUAAAUAAGUUUAUCAGAAAAAAAAAUCCAGU